rnacentral:rRNA from 1 species
AUUGAACGCUGGCGGCAGGCCUAACACAUGCAAGUCGAGCGAGCGGCGGACGGGUGAGUAAAGUCUGGGAAACUGCCGCAUGGAGGGGGAUAACUACGGGAAACGGGAGCUAAAACCGCAUACUACCAGAUGUGCUCAGAUGGGAGUAGCUAGUAGGUGGGGUAACGGCUCACCUAGGCGACGAUCCCUAGCUGGUCUGAGAGGAUGACCAGCCACACGGGAACUGAGACACGGUCCAGACUCCUACGGGAGGCAGCAGUGGGGAAUAUUGCACAAUGGGCGCAAGCCUGAUGCAGCCAUGCCGCGUGUGUGAAGAAGGCCUUCGGGUUGUAAAGCACUUUCAGCGGGGAGGCGUUACCCGCAGAAGAAGCACCGGCUAACUCCGUGCCAGCAGCCGCGGUAAUAC